rnacentral:rRNA from 1 species
AGUGAACGCUGGCGGUAGGCCUAACACAUGCAAGUCGAACGGCAGCACAGUAAGAGCUUGCUCUUACGGGUGGCGAGUGGCGGACGGGUGAGGAAUACAUCGGAAUCUACUUUUUCGUGGGGGAUAACGUAGGGAAACUUACGCUAAUACCGCAUACGACCUACGGGUGAAAGCAGGGGAUCUUCGGACCUUGCGCGAUUGAAUGAGCCGAUAUCGGAUUAGCUAGUUGGCGGGGUAAAGGCCCACCAAGGCGACGAUCCGUAGCUGGUCUGAGAGGAUGAUCAGCCACACUGGAACUGAGACACGGUCCAGACUCCUACGGGAGGCAGCAGUGGGGAAUAUUGGACAAUGGGCGCAAGCCUGAUCCAGCCAUACCGCGUGGGUGAAGAAGGCCUUCGGGUUGUAAAGCCCUUUUGUUGGGAAAGAAAAGCAGCAGGUUAAUACCCCGCUGUUCUGACGGUACCCAAGGAAUAAGCACCGGCUAACUUCGUG